GUGAGGGACGACGGCCUUCGGGUUGUAAACCUCUUUUAGCAGGGAAGAAGCGAAAGUGACGGUACCUGCAGAAAAAGCACCGGCUAACUACGUGCCAGCAGCCGCGGUAAUACGUAGGGUGCAAGCGUUGUCCGGAAUUAUUGGGCGUAAAGAGCUCGUAGGCGGUUUGUCGCGUCUGCUGUGAAAACUGGAGGCUCAACCUCCAGCCUGCAGUGGGUACGGGCAGACUAGAGUGCGGUAGGGGAGAUUGGAAUUCCUGGUGUAGCGGUGGAAUGCGCAGAUAUCAGGAGGAACACCGAUGGCGAAGGCAGAUCUCUGGGCCGUAACUGACGCUGAGGAGCGAAAGGGUGGGGAGCAAACAGGCUUAGAUACCCUGGUAGUCCACCCCGUAAACGUUGGGAACUAGAUGUGGGGACCAUUCCACGGUCUCCGUGUCGCAGCUAACGCAUUAAGUUCCCCGCCUGGGGAGUACGGCCGCAAGGCUAAAACUCAAAGGAAUUGACGGGGGCCCGCACAAGCGGCGGAGCAUGCGGAUUAAUUCGAUGCAACGCGAAGAACCUUACCAAGGCUUGACAUAUACGAGAACGCACGAGAGAUCGUGAACUCUUUGGACACU
rnacentral:rRNA from 1 species